CUAACCAGCCUGAUGCUGAGCAGCUGUGACACACACUUUGAGACGCUCCACUUUCUGCUGUCCAAGAGCAGCCCCGAGCAUGGGGUGAUCUUCAGGGAGGUGUCGGAGAGCACGAUGCAGCCCGGGGACAUCGUGCUCUUCCCCUUGGACAGCAGCGCUGGCAGCUACAUGGGUUUCAAACACG